rnacentral:rRNA from 1 species
UACGGAGGGGGUUAGCGUUGUUCGGAAUUACUGGGCGUAAAGCGCAUGUAGGCGGAACAGAAAGUUAGAAGUGAAAUCCCUGGGCUCAACCUAGGAAUUGCUUUUAAAACUUCUGUUCUGGAAUUCAGGAGAGGAAAAUGGAAUAUCCAGUGUAGAGGUGAAAUUCGUAGAUAUUGGAUGGAACACCAGUGGCGAAGGCGAUUUUCUGGACUGAUAUUGACGCUGAGAUGCGAAGGCAUGGGUAGCAAACGGG